GGUUUUUUUUUUGUUUUCCCUACUUACUAGUGAACCUAUUGUUUUCCUAUUUAGGAGCUUAAGUGAUGAUGAUGACUUAGGAGCACUUGAUUUUUAGGGCUAGGGUUUGUAAAAUUCGAAAUUCAAGAAUUAGGGGAUUAAAUUAAGUUGGCAAAUCUUUUCAUCUUCAGAUUACAAAGAAAAAAAAAAAAAAUACUAGCCUC
rnacentral:misc_RNA from 1 species